rnacentral:ribozyme from 1 species
AAAGCGAAAGAAAAAACCAAAAAUGACCACAGACAAAAAAUGAUAAAACUUUAUAUUAUCCUAUUCCUUGCAUUCCUUGUUAUUUAUUUACUUAUUUCCCUAUUUAUUUAUUUCCCUAUUUAU